CGUCGGGUGAGCAGUUGAAGGGGCGGUGUAACCCAGUGCUGGAGGUUAUGCGAGUGAGAAUUCAGGCAUGAGUAGCGAAUGAUGAGUGGGAAACUCAUCCGCCGGAUGACUAAGGGUUCCUGGGUCAAGUUAAUCUUCCCAGGGUGAGUCGGGGCCUAAGGCGAGGCCGACAGGCGUAGUCGAUGGUUAACGGGUUGAUAUUCCCGUACCCGUAUGUGUGCGACCAAUGGUGAAGCAGUGAUACUAACCGCCCUGAACGAUGCUUCAUGCACUUUGUGUGUGUUGUGUUGGGAUGCGUGGGACCUGAUCUGUUGUAGUCAAGCGAGGGGGUGACGCAGGAAGGUAGCCGAGCCACUGAUUGGAUUGUGGUGUAAGCGUGUGGCCCGCUGUAUUGGUAAAUCCGUACAGCUUUGUGGGUGAGGCGUGAUGCGUACCCGUUUGUGGGGAUGUUGGUGAUCCUAUGCUGUCGAGAAAAGCCUCUAGUGAGUGCAUGUAUGGCCCGUACCGUAAACCGACACAGGUGGUCAGGUAGAGAAUACUAAGGCGAUCGGGUGAACUGUGGU
rnacentral:rRNA from 1 species